GCAGGCCUAACACAUGCAAGUCGAGCGGAAACGAGUUAUCUGAACCUUCGGGGGACGAUAACGGCGUCGAGCGGCGGACGGGUGAGUAAUGCCUAGGAAAUUGCCCUGAUGUGGGGGAUAACCAUUGGAAACGAUGGCUAAUACCGCAUAAUGCCUACGGGCCAAAGAGGGGGACCUUCGGGCCUCUCGCGUCAGGAUAUGCCUAGGUGGGAUUAGCUAGUUGGUGAGGUAAUGGCUCACCAAGGCGACGAUCCCUAGCUGGUCUGAGAGGAUGAUCAGCCACACUGGAACUGAGACACGGUCCAGACUCCUACGGGAGGCAGCAGUGGGGAAUAUUGCACAAUGGGCGCAAGCCUGAUGCAGCCAUGCCGCGUGUGUGAAGAAGGCCUUCGGGUUGUAAAGCACUUUCAGUCGUGAGGAAGGUAGUGUAGUUAAUAGCUGCAUUAUUUGACGUUAGCGACAGAAGAAGCACCGGCUAACUCCGUGCCAGCAGCCGCGGUAAUACGGAGGGUGCGAGCGUUAAUCGGAAUUACUGGGCGUAAAGCGCAUGCAGGUGGUUUGUUAAGUCAGAUGUGAAAGCCCGGGGCUCAACCUCGGAAUUGCAUUUGAAACUGGCAGACUAGAGUACUGUAGAGGGGGGUAGAAUUUCAGGUGUAGCGGUGAAAUGCGUAGAGAUCUGAAGGAAUACCGGUGGCGAAGGCGGCCCCCUGGACAGAUAC
rnacentral:rRNA from 1 species